rnacentral:rRNA from 1 species
UCUUGUACUCACCGCCCGUCAACUCAAGGGAGCCGGGCAUACCCGAAGCUCUAGCACUUGCUGGAACCACGGUAAAUUCGGUGACAGGGAGU